ensembl:lncRNA
UAUCAUGUGUAUUUAACUAGCAGUUGAUUGGAGAAGAUAAUUGCAUUAUGUGAAAUGUAGACAUGAGAAUUUGGGACGGGCUAUAAAAACAAUGUAAUCUUCCCCGUUGUACCGUACAUAGAAAAAUGCCGGUUGGUGUUGGUGUCAUCGGUUCUGGCCCAGCAGCGACAUGUAAACUUCACAGCAAGCUGCAUUCUAUUAGUGCCGUGGGCCAAAGACUAGCGGCAGAGUAUUGGCCCAUGACCUAUGUGACAACCUUUGGGCCAGUAACAGAUUAACAACCAAAAUAUUGUAAAGCUACGUCCACUUCAGGACUAAUUCUGUCCGUCAGUCGACAGUGGUGGUAGACAGCCAGAGUCGACCCAGAACUGACUAAUACCUGGAAUGUUUUUUGUUUGUGUAAUAAGAGAUCUCCAUUAAGGAAGGUACACAGUAACCCAAAUUGCUCUCCCGCCAGAAUUCGGAGACGGUACGGAGACACUGAGCUGUCUGGUCCAACAAAGUGCUUCUUUUUAGUCUCUUCAGAAGACGUUUCACCGGCUCUCAGGGACGUUAACGCUGAUCAUAAUGACCACUGAAAGACGAGCCUCGAGCUGCAGGGACCGUGAGAGGAUCUUAACCAAGAACAACAUCAAUAACGAGGUCGCACUUGCAUGCAUGCAUUGUCACGCGUGUCGGUGAGAAACUGUAUGUUGAUGCAUGUGUCGGUGUGUGUGUAAGGGAGAGAGAGGGAGAGAGAGGGAGAGAGAGAGAGAGAGAGAGAGAGAGAGAGAGAGGGGGCUUUGAGGGGUCAGUGUUGUUGUUGCAUUUAUACACUUUAGUUCUAAUUAGCAGGCUGCCUGUAAGCCUCCAGUGUCCUCUCCCAAUACACACCAUUUCCAUGCAACUCAUUUCCAUGAAAACUAGAAUCAGCCCUGAAACUGCGACAUGAUGACCCAAACUCCUUUGUUGUUGGUGGCGGGGAGGAGGAGCGGUUUUGUUCUUCCUGUUUUUAUGUCGGAGUACAUGACAUUUCACCACAACACCAACAUCCCAAAAGACGACCAGCCAAAAGUGAGGAAUUGUCUUGUAUCUUGUCUCCGAGAGAGCUCGUCUUGACUCGUUGACGGAUUGACAGCGACUGCUCCAUCGAGAGCUUGUCAGACACCGCGAGUGUGCAUCUUUGUCCCUUAUGUGUGAGCUUGCAAUGGCCUGUGUGACACGCGACUAUCGAGCCUAGAAAUAUAUAUUCUAUUAAUAUAUUCAAUUGUUAAAAUGUGUUAUUUAAGUCCAAAUGGAACAGAAAAGAGGAAAUAAAAGCGUAU